UUGAGCCGUAUGUGGUGAAAGUCACAAGUACGGUUCUUAGGCGGGAAAGAGGGAGUAAUCCCUCCUACCUAGCCGAC
rfam:Clostridium magnum DSM 2767 CLMAG_contig000013, whole genome shotgun sequence.